AGUGAACGCUGGCGGUAGGCCUAACACAUGCAAGUCGAACGGCAGCACAGUAAGAGCUUGCUCUUACGGGUGGCGAGUGGCGGACGGGUGAGGAAUACAUCGGAAUCUACUUUUUCGUGGGGGAUAACGUAGGGAAACUUACGCUAAUACCGCAUACGACCUACGGGUGAAAGCAGGGGAUCUUCGGACCUUGCGCGAUUGAAUUAGCCGAUGUCGGAUUAGCUAGUUGGCGGGGUAAAGGCCCACCAAGGCGACGAUCCGUAGCUGGUCUGAGAGGAUGAUCAGCCACACUGGAACUGAGACACGGUCCAGACUCCUACGGGAGGCAGCAGUGGGGAAUAUUGGACAAUGGGCGCAAGCCUGAUCCAGCCAUACCGCGUGGGUGAAGAAGGCCUUCGGGUUGUAAAGCCCUUUUGUUGGGAAAGAAAAGCAGCAGGUUAAUACCCCGCUGUUCUGACGGUACCCAAAGAAUAAGCACCGGCUAACUUCGCG
rnacentral:rRNA from 1 species